ensembl:lncRNA
CAGUACUUCUAACUCAGUGUCUGUAAGUGGCUUAUAAGGAUUUUCAAGUAAUUUUGCAAAAAUGGCCAAAGAAGAGGAUUCCAUACCUAACCUUUAAGGUAAAGAUAUUAAGGCUCGCCGAGACGUUGACACACAGCAGCAUGUGAAGCUGAGGGCCGGUACCAGCGCUGUAUGAAUACAUACGAGGUGUGCUUCCUGACCGUCCCGUCUCUUCCAGAUUCCGGGGCGGAGGUCCAGGUCGUCCGGGGGCCCGCGGGGGGGGUGGAGGUGGAGUAGGAGGAGGAGGAGGAGGAGGAGGAGGGUACUCGGAGGAGUACGGGGCCCAGGACGAUAGCUUUGAGGCCCCGGAUGAGAUGGGCCGCGGCUGGGAGGGCGGCGGCGGCGGCGGCCGGGGCAGACCCCCCCGCGGUGGAGGUCCGCCUCGAGGUGGAGGAGGAGGCCACGAGGGUUACCUCGGUGACGGCCAGCCGAUGCUGGACAGCUCCUCCCCCGGCGGAAGGGGGGAGCGCCCCCCGCCCUCCUCCAUGCAGGGCAUGGACAUGGCGUCCCUCCCUCCACGCAAACGGCCCUGGCACGACGGCCCGGGCACCGGAGACCCCCGGGACCCCCGCGAACCUCCCGGUGGAGGAGGAGGAGCUGGAGCAGGAGGGCCUGAGGGUCGCCCCCCCCAGAGAGGCGAGGAGGGGGGCUAUGGGCCGGCCGUACGAGGAGGUCGUGGGGGUGGGGGCUGGGGUCCAGGAGGAGGUGCAGGAGGUCCCCCUCUCAGGAGAGGAGCCCCCAGAGGAGUCCCCCGUGGUGGCCGCGGCCGGUAGUGACCGCUCCCCCCCCCCAACCCCCCCCUUUCACAUUGGUGUUGGGUGUCCCGCCCACUGACCUGGUUCACACUGGCCGCCACUGUGUUGAUCGACACAAGACUUGACCAAUGGGCCGGCAGAGUGACCAGAUUUAGUUUCUGAAUCAGUGAAGUAGGAUUUUUUUUUCUUUCUUCUUCUCACCCCAGUGGAAAAGACCUUGUAGCCGCCGCGAGGCUUUGAUGGCACCAUGUGCGUGCCCAUUGGCCAUGCAUCACAGCGACCAUGUGACCUCGGCGCGGCCUCUGACAUGUAACCCCCCCCCCCACCCCACCCCCGGGCGUCAUGUACACACUGUGUGACUCCUCCCCCCCAACCCCACCAGGCGUCACAUACACAUUGUGUGACCACCCCUCGGACACUAACGCGGGUCGCCUGACGAAGUCUCGAACCCGAACUUUUAGUCAGAGCCCCGUGUUUCACGAUGCACCGUGUUGGACACCCGACUGAUGCGGCGGCCUGGGCGGGAGGUCCAGGGAAUUAAUCGUCUCUCCGGUCGCUCCUGAAGGCUCGUCCCGACACGUCAGCUGUCGCGUUCUCCUCCCAGUGAGGACCUCUGCAUUCCCCAAUCCGCUCCGUUUAUUUAAGUUCAUUUUUUAAUUGUGAUCAACGGAGGACAUCAAUCCUCACCCCAUCCCAGGAACCUUCCGACCUCGGGGUGUCUUUCCUCUGUUUGUAAAUGUACAGUUUGUCUUGGGUUGCUUUUGUCCAUUUUGUAUAAGACUAUAUAAUAGAGUUUGUGCAAAG